rnacentral:tRNA from 1 species
GAAAAUGAAAAUAUUAGACUUCUAAUCUAAGAAAUUGCAGAUGGUAACAUUUUCU